UUCGCAGGCGGCGUAUUAAGUCAGUGGUGGAAUCCCUCGGCUCAACCGAGGAACUGCCAUUGAUACUGGUAUGCUAGAGUAUAGUUGGCGUAGGCGGAAUGUAUCAUGUAGCGGUGAAAUGCUUAGAUAUGAUACAGAACACCGAUCGCGAAGGCAGCUUACGAAACUAUAACUGACGCUCAGGAACGAAAGCGUGGGGAGCGAACAGGAUUAGAUACCCUGGUAGUCC
rnacentral:rRNA from 1 species